ACACUCCUACGGGAGGCAGCAGUGGGGAAUAUUGGACAAUGGGCGCAAGCCUGAUCCAGCCAUGCCGCGUGAGUGAUGAAGGCCCUAGGGUUGUAAAGCUCUUUCACCGGUGAAGAUAAUGACGGUAACCGGAGAAGAAGCCCCGGCUAACUUCGUGCCAGCAGCCGCGGUAAUACGAAGGGGGCUAGCGUUGUUCGGAUUUACUGGGCGUAAAGCGCACGUAGGCGGACUAUUAAGUCAGGGGUGAAGUCCCGGGGCUCAACCCCGGAACUGCCUUUGAUACUGGUAGUCUUGAGUUCGAGAGAGGUGAGUGGAAUUCCGAGUGUAGAGGUGAAAUUCGUAGAUAUUCGGAGGAACACCAGUGGCGAAGGCGGCUCACUGGCUCGAUACUGACGCUGAGGUGCGAAAGCGUGGGGAGCAAACAGGAUUAGAUACCCCGGUAGUCCC
rnacentral:rRNA from 1 species